rnacentral:rRNA from 1 species
AUUGAACGCUGGCGGCAGGCCUAACACAUGCAAGUCGCGCGAGCGGCGGACGGGUGAGUAAUGUAUGGGGACUGCCCGAUAGAGGGGGAUAACUACUGGAAACGGUAGCUAAUACCGCAUACUAUCGGAUAACCCAUAGGGGAUUAGCUAGUAGGUGAGGUAAUGACUCACCUAGGCGACGAUCCCUAGCUGUUCUGAGAGGAUGAUCAGCCAAACUGGGACUGAGACACGGCCCAGACUCAGACGGAGGCAGCAGUGGGGAAUAUUGAACAAUGGGAGAAAGCCUGAUGCAGACAUGCCGCGUGUAGGAAGAAGGCCUUAGGGUUGUAAAGUACUUUCAGUCGGGAGGCGUUACCGACAGAAGAAGCACCGACUAACUCCGUGCCAGCAGCCGCGGUAAUAC